GAUGAAGAACGUAGCGAAAUGCGAUACUUGGUGUGAAUUGCAGAAUCCCGUGAACCAUCGAGUCUUUGAACGCAAGUUGCGCCUCAAGCCAUUAGGUUGAGGGCACGUCUGCCUGGGCGUCACAUAUCGUUGCCUGAUGCCAGUUUCCUCGUGAUGGGUGACUGUGCAGGGCGAAUGAUGGCUUCCCGUGAGCAUUGUUGCCUCAUGGUUGGUUGAAAAUUGAGUCCUUGGUAGGGAGCGCCGUGAUAGAUGGUGGUUGAGUGACGAACGAGACCCAAUCAUGUGAGACCCCUACCGAAUUUGGCCUUCAUGACCCACAUGCGUCUUUGGAACGCUCAUGACGAGACCUCAGGUCAGGCGGGGCUACCCGCUGAGUUUAAGCAUAUAAAUAAGCGGAGGA
rnacentral:misc_RNA from 1 species